AUGAGAUUAGUCCCGGUUCUGUCGGCGUUAGCCAUGGUGUCGUUGGGCUUCGUCCUCGGCUUCUCUUUCCCGGCAUCGAUGACGCCCAAUCUUCAGUGUGGCGUACUGCCUUGGAGCGGCAGCACCAACUCCAGCUCCAGUGAGAGCUUCCUCGGGAGACUCUGGGCACCAUUACUCAGGAACAGCAGUAGCACCUCAAAUGCCACCUCAGGGAUUGUUAAUGUUGCAAGGAGACCAGAAGGCGCAGGGAGGUUACCGCCGGGCAUCGUGGUUUCGGAGUCCGACCUUCACCUGCGCCGGCUGUGGGGAUCCCCGACUCAGGACGCGCCGGUUCGGAAGUACCUCCUCACAAUGGCGGUAGGGCACAAGGAGAGGGCCAAUGUCAAUGCAACCGUUCACAAGUUCUCGGACAAGUUCGACGUGGUGCUGUUCCACUACGACGGCCACACGACGGAGUGGGACGACGACUUCCACUGGUCCAAGGAGGCCGUCCACGUCAGCGCCAGGAAGCAGACCAAAUGGUGGUUCGCCAAGAGGUUCCUCCACCCGAGCGUCGUGGCGCCGUACGCCUACGUGUUCCUGUGGGACGAGGACCUCGGCGUCGAGAACUUCAACGCCGAAGCGUACAUUGACAUCGUGAAGAAGCACGGGCUGGAGAUCUCGCAGCCGGGGCUGGACUCGACCAAGGGGAAGUCGGCGUACAAGGUCUCCGUCAAGAGAAACUCCGGCGAGAUGCACAAGACGGAUGCAGGGGGGAAGUGGUGCCCCGACGUACACAAGCGGCCGUGCAGCGGGUUCGUGGAGGUGAUGGCGCCGGUCUUCUCCAGGGAUGCUUGGAGAUGCGUGUGGCAUAUGAUCCAGAAUGAUCUGGUUCAUGGAUGGGGUCUCGACUACAACUUCUGGAGAUGUGUCGAUGACCCUGAAGAGCAAUUUGGCAUCGUGGAUGCACAAUAUGUUGUCCAUCAUGGAGUCCCCACACUCAAAGAUCAGGGUAACGGAGAAAAGCAAGGAAGCAGGGCUAAGAUUAAAGACCGGCAAUACGAGGAGUGGCACGCCUUUGACUCAAGACUUGACAAUGCCGACAAGGAGCUGGCCAACUCUACUGCUAGAUCAUCAUCCCAACCCUAA
rnacentral:rRNA from 1 species